UCACAUACAAGAACAAAAGCAACACAUGAUCACAGGAAAGCAAAUGCCAACUUACAGGGACUUAUAAUUGCAACCUCACAUACAAACAGAUACAAAACAUGGAUGUCAGAUGCCAAUCUGUCUAGGCUUACUCUAACAUACACAGUAUGAUCCUAGGAAAACAAAUGCCAACUUGCAGGGACUUACAGUUGUAUCCUCACA
rnacentral:lncRNA from 1 species